rnacentral:lncRNA from 10 species
GAGAACUUCUGUUAGGGCAGUGUGGAAGGGAAAUGUUGGGUUGGAGCCCCCACACAGAUUCCCCAUUGGGGCACUGCCUAGUGGGGCUAUGAGAAGAGGGCUGCUGUCCUCCAGACUCCAGAAUGGCAGAUCCACUGACAGCCUGCACUGUGUGCCUGGAAAUGCUGCAGACUCUCAAUGCCAGCCCAUGAAAGUAGCCGGGAGGAAAGCUGUACCCUGCAAGGCCACAGGGGUGGAGCUGCCCAAGACCAUGGGAAUCCACUUCUUGCAUCGGCAUGGCUUGGCUCUGUGUCCCCACCCAAAUCUCACCUUGUAGCUCUCAUAAUUCCCACGUGUUGUUGGAGGUACCCACUGGGAGAUGAUUGAAUUAUGGGAGCGGGUCUUUCCCAUGCUGUUCUCAUGAUAGUGAGGUCUUUCUGUUCUUUCCCAUGCUGUCCUUGUGAUAGUGAUUGGGUGUCAUGAGAUGUGAUGAUUUUUAAAAUGGGAAAUGCCCCACACAAGCUCUCUCUUUGCCUGUUGCCAUCCAUGGAAGAUGUGACUUCCUCCUCCUUGCCUUCCACCAUGAUUGUGAGGCUUCACCAGCCAUGUGGAUCUGUAAGUACAAUUAAACCUCUUUCUUUUGUAAAUUGACCAGUCUCGGAUAUGUCUCUAUCAGCAGCAUGAAAAUGGACUAAUGCAAUGGUGAAGCCACAUCUCUACUAAAAAUACAAGAAAAUUAGCCAGAUGUGGUGGCAGGCAUCUGUAAUUCCAGCUACUUGGGACGCUGAGGCAUGAGAAUUGCUUGAUCCCAGGAGGCAGAGGUCGCAGUUAGCUGAGAUCGUGCCACUGCAUUCCAACCUGGGUGACAGAGCAAGACUCUGUUUCAAAAAGAAAAAAAAAAAAAAAGAAAAAAAAAUGAUGGAGGAGGAAGAGAGAAAGGAAUGGACAUGGAAAUGGGUACACUAAACUUCUUCAAAAGAUUAGCUAAAGGAAAGACUAUGGAUGGAUACAGGAUUUAGAGUUGUGAAAACUGGAUGUCUUUACUUGUUGCGUUUAAAAUUUUAAUAAUAAGCAAUUCUGUUUAGAUAUUAACUUUACAUUUUUUUCUUGUAAGUGAAAACAAAAGAAUACAGAUGAACAAACAGACAACAACUCUCUACAUUGAGGUUCUGAUUUUGUACAAAAGUAUUGAAAGAUGAAGGGAUUAAAAUUCAAUAUUCAAGAAAUUUUGGAGUUUAAAAAAUGGUGUUCUCUUUGGAAAGUUAUCUACUUAGGUAAUUGUUAAAACUACUUAAGUGGAAACAGAAAGCUGCAUCAUUGUAAUUGCAAAAGAUCCUCUCCUUUUAUGACUUUUAAAUAUCAGUGUUUGUGAAUAUUACAUGCAUAUGUCUAGUCAGGCAAUAUGAUCUCUGUUAGCAGGCUGCAGCUAUAAAUUCACCAAUGAAAAUUUGCAGACUCCAGCAGAAUGCUCACAUUAAUGAGUCCUUUGGGAUAACAUUUGCUUGAACUAUGUUUAUCUAAACCAAAGUGUUAAAAUCAAUUAACUUAUAAAUAAUAAUGAAUUAAGUUUCCUAUUUCAGCCACAGUUAUUCUCUAUUAGCUGAAAUGCUCCUUCUCUCGCGCUCUCUCUCUCUCUCUCUCUCUCUCUCUCUGUCUCUCUGUCUUUCCCUCUCUUAUUAGAUUUCUACAUAUAACUUUUCCUGUUUCAGAGGGAAUUAAUUUUUUUUCCCAGUAUACAUCCCUUCUUUGGAGAAGGAAGAUUGUUUAAGAUUGGCUUUAUUGACUCUACUGCACUAGAGACAAAACAGAAAUAAGUAGGCAAAGGUAUUUAUGUGGAAAUGUUUUAACCAUUAGUAUUAGGUGAAAGUUCUUUAUAGCUUUUAGAAUAUUGUCCUGAGGCUACUACCCCUUCAAGGGGCUUAAAAGCUCCAGACCCGGCUUUUAGUGAAAGUUCUGAACAGCCAAGUUGGAAAGUUAUUUUUUUAAGCUGAAAGUAAAAGGUAGAAAAAUGGAUAGUAUAAUAGAACUAGAAUAUUUUCACUUCUUAUUUCAGGGGUUGUUUUUUACCUGAUUACCCUAAUUGAUCUUAUAAAAAUGUGACUAUAGUUUGUGUUGUUGUAUUAUUAUUUUUGUAAUAAUUAUAAUAAUAUUUUUUGAAGAUCUGAACUUCAAUAUUUGAUAAUACAAUAAUAACAUUUGAAUAGCUCAUCUCUAUAGAGUAAUUCAUUACUUCAAAGUACAAAAUCGGAGGAAGCUGCAUGGCAUAUUGAAACUCCUGUGUUUAUCUGCACUAAUCACUUCCUGGUACCAUUGUGCUCAAUGUUACAUGAAAUACUCUGACAU